rnacentral:rRNA from 1 species
UUUUCCUACGGGGGGCAGCAGUGAGGAAUGUUGGUCAAUGGGCGCAAGCCUGAACCAGCCAAGUCGCGUGAGGGAUGACGGUCCUAUGGAUUGUAAACCUCUUUUGUCGGGGAGCAAGGCCCGCCACGUGUGGCGGGAAGGGGAGUACCCGAAGAAAAAGCAUCGGCUAACUCCGUGCCAGCAGCCGCGGUAAUACGGAGGAUUCGAGCGUUAUCCGGAUUUAUUGGGUUUAAAGGGGGCGU